AGACGCCGCGCGGUGGUGUCCACCAGAUCUGAAACUGACUCUGCCUGUGAAAGCCACGUAUUGGGUGACCUUGGGGAAGUGAUUUCACCUGUCGUGUGGCUGCACAACACGUUAAGCAAUCCAUGCAGCUGUACCAGACGAAGAUUUCCAGGAUGACUUUGGAGUGGAGCUUUUUGGUGAGGAUUCUGGGGUCAUGACGGUGAUUGAACACAACCACCUCGGGACCUGGUUGCCCCCACGUGUUCCUGUCAGUGUUUGCUACCGAAGAGUCUGAGGAUACCAGGUUGUUGCUGUGCUUUAGACAAGAUCUGUUACCAGUAAAGCUGUCCUUGUCUGUGAUUAUGGAUCUAUGGAUCUAUGGAUCUAUAGAUCUAUAGUUGGGACAGAAACACUGGGAAGAGGCAAGCUGAAAGAACAGAUUAUUUUAGUGGAAAACCAUGACCUUUGUAUUUCUGCUAUGGGUGCCACAUGGCAUAUAACUAAUAAAAGACUUGAAGUA